rnacentral:rRNA from 1 species
GGUGAAAGUCUGCAGCUCAAACUGUAGAAAUUGCCCUUUGAUACUGGUUUCUGAAAUUAUUUGUGAAGUGGGUAGAAUAAGUAGUGUAGCGGUGAAAUGCAUAGAUAUUACUUAGAAUACCAAUUGCGAAGGGCAGAUCACUACAUAUAUUGACGCUGAGGGACGAAAGCGUGGGGGAGCGAACAGGGAUUAGAUACCCUGGUAGUCCACGCCGUAAACGAUGGAUACUAGCUGUUCGAUUUUCGGAUUGAGUGGCUAAGCGAAAGUGAUAAGUAUCCCACCUGGGGAGUACGUUCGCAAGAAUGAAACUCAAAGGAAUUGACGGGGGCCCGCACAAGCGGUGGAGCAUGUGGUUUAAUUCGAUGAUACGCGAGGAACCUUACCAGGGCUUAAAUGUAGUGGGACAGGUCUAGAAAUAGACCCUUCUUCGGACUCAUUACAAGGUGCUGCAUGGUUGUCGUCAGCUCGUGCCGUGAGGUGUCAGGUUAAGUCCUAUAACGAGCGCAACCCCUGUUGUUAGUUGCCAGCGAGUAAUGUCGGGAACUCUAACAAGACUGCCGGUGCAAACCGCGAGGAAGGUGGGGAUGACGUCAAAUCAUCACGGCCCUUACGUCCUGGGCUACACACGUGCUACAAUGGUAGGUACAGAGAGCAGCCACUGCGCGAGCAGGAGCGAAUCUAUAAAACCUAUCACAGUUCGGAUCGGAGUCUGCAACUCGACUCCGUGAAGCUUGAAUCGCUGGUAAUCGCAUAUCAGCCAUGAUGCGGUGAAUAAGUUCCCGGGCCUUGUACACACCGCCCGACAAGCCAUGGAAGCUGGGGGUACCUGAAGUCGGUGACGGUAAGGAGCUGCCUAGGGUAAAACUAGUAACUGGGGCUAAGUCGUAACAAGGUAGCCAUAAGGAAGAAUUCUGCAGAAUCAUAUCACAGCUUCCCGCUUGAGCAAGCAUGUAGAACGGCC